rnacentral:lncRNA from 1 species
AGUCUUCUCUCGCCUCCCUUGGUCGGUCGUCCCUUCUCUGUGGUGGCAGGUGCGGUCAUCCCCUAUGAGCACGCCCUCUCGUCGGUUGUCUUCGAAGGUUACGGUGACCAGAGCUUCUAGCUUUCUGGUUUGGAAUUCGUAGCAGCGACGGUUUCUUGCUUCGCACCACGAUUAUCGUCAUCAUGUUUUCUAGCUUUCUGGUUUGGAAUUCGUAGCAGCGACGGUUUCUUGCUUCACACCACGAUUAUCGUUAUCAUGUUUCCGGCUAGGAAUCUCUGUGGUAAUAACUUUUCAUGAUCCUUCCCGACGACGAGUAACUGGCGUCUGAAUCCCAAGCAUCCGCCUUCCAGCAGUCGUCCGGUGGGCCAAAUGCGAUACUGAUAUCCGGCUGUCAUCACCUUCUCCGGCAUGCCGUCGGAAUUCGAUGCGGUGGACGUCGUUUGCUUAUGCCGCGGAGCUCUUCCUCCCUCCGGCCAGUCCCCCUGGCUCUUCUUCCUCCUCAUCCCAGCUUUCGGGAAUCCCUGUCCCUCUCUUCCAACUCGACUCGCAGGGCCUCCUCCCGCGGACGUCGGAGAAGUACCUGAAGACGAUGGAGAGGUGGGAGAAGCGUGGGUAUGGCCGGAGUCUCUGUUAGGGCCGUCUCGGCCCAUUGAGAGAUACAGAGCCGGCCCCAGAUUCUGCUCCUUCUCCCAGUGGGAACUGUUUUAACGAUCGCCACUGUCAAUGGUUGAGAGGAAGGUAAAGACGAUGGCCCCCAUUUUAUAUCCCGAUGAUGCUCUUUAUCAGUUCGGCGCGAAGAUACCGUCCCCCUCUCCCCUCCCGUUACGGAGGGCCACGCCUUCGAUCUCUCUCUUUCUCUCUCUCCUUCGAGCUCACCCGCCGCCAACCCCAAAUCGAACACCUCACUCAGGUAGUCGCGUAAUGAAGAAUUGAAGCCGUAGUUAGGUUUCACAGGGGACAUUCCGACGGUUCCCACGUUCAGCCUCCCUGGAGGUUGGGAGAAGAAGAUCAUGAAAGUCAGAGAGAGAGAGAGGGGGGAGGGGGUCAGGGCGGUGGUCGCCGCCCAACGCCGACAGCCAGACACCAUCGCACCCGCCUCGUCGCCGCUGGCGGCGAAUUGCCAUUCUUUUCGUCAAAACGUGAUCUUUAUGCUCUCAUCUCCGCUUCAAUCACACAACAUAUUAAAGGCUAUC